rnacentral:lncRNA from 1 species
AAACAGAAGUGUCUUUAGUUUUCUUCCCAACAGCGUCAUGGCGAAGCAAGGCAGCCGGGGGAAAGCGAAGAGGAGAAGAGGACGAGCCCCUCGAGGAACAGGCAGCAGCUGGACCUGGAACAAGAGAACAGUGCGAGGCAGCGAUCCGUGACCGCGGGAACAGUGCGGGGCACGACUGCCCU